rnacentral:rRNA from 1 species
GUGGGGAAUCUUGCGCAAUGGGCGAAAGCCUGACGCAGCCAUGCCGCGUGAAUGAUGAAGGUCUUAGGAUUGUAAAAUUCUUUCACCGGGGACGAUAAUGACGGUACCCGGAGAAGAAGCUCCGGCUAACUUCGUGCCAGCAGCCGCGGUAAUACGAAGGGGGCUAGCGUUGCUCGGAAUUACUGGGCGUAAAGGGCGCGUAGGCGGAUCGUUAAGUCAGGGGUGAAAUCCCAGAGCUCAACUCUGGAACUGCCCUUGAUACUGGCGAUCUUGAGUGUGAGAGAGGUAUGUGGAACUCCGAGUGUAGAGGUGAAAUUCGUAGAUAUUCGGAAGAACACCAGUGGCGAAGGCGACAUACUGGCUCAUUACUGACGCUGAGGCGCGAAAGCGUGGGGAGCAAACAGGAUUAGAAACCCUGGUAGUCC